AACGCACAUUGCGCCCCUUGGUAUUCCGAGGGGCAUGCCUGUUCGAGCGUCAUUAUAACCACUCAAGCCUGGCUUGGUGUUGGGGUUCGCGGUCCCGCGGCCCUUAAAAUCAGUGGCGGCGCCAUCUGGCUCUAAGCGUAGUAAUCUUUCUCGCUACAGGGUCCCGGUGGAUGCUUGCCAGCAACCCCCCAUUUCUUAGGUUGACCUCGGAUCAGGUAGGGAUACCCGCUGAACUUAA
rnacentral:misc_RNA from 1 species